AGAGAGAGAGAGAGAGAUAGAAUUUUGAACCAGCAUAGCCAAGUUAAUGCGUGCGCGGAAAACUAGUCUCAUAGUCGUCGUGGCUAACGCGUUGGUUCGCGUCGAGUGUUUCGCGUUUAUUUGAUUGUUUCAAUUAUUUGUUGCUUAAUAAUGUGUUAAAAAACACAACUUUACGAUUGUGUUGGUUAUAAAUUAUGAAUUUUAAUUGUAAUUUUCAGUUUACAAUUUAGCCGUUCUGCAAAUAUCUCGAUUCCAAUAUUUUAACUUUUUUAUUUCAACGCAUAUGGAAAACUCUUAAUGAGGUCAAAGGGCUUUGAGUAACUGUUGUCAGUAUCGAACACAUCAAAAGAAAAACAGGAAACUUAUUUCUAUUCAUUAAUUUUUAUCCGGAAUACGCCCACGAUAAGGACCUACCUCUAUUGAAGAUGAGUCAGUAAAGUGGAUUAAUGGAUGACCCGGCACUGACUACCGGUUUUCAAAUAGUAAAACUAAGAGUCUCGGACACUGUAUUCAUUGUUUUUACUUGUGCAGAAAAAUGUUGUAAUACAUAUGUGAUGGAAAAUAAUACAUUUAGGAGGGGUCAGUCAACUUAGGUGUCUUGUCGCGUAUGGUUUAUACUAACGUGUAUAUUUUUGAAUUAUAUUGCUUUGUAUAUUAAUAUUAUAAUAAAAUACUUUACAAUA